GAUGAACGCUGGCGGCGUGCCUAAUACAUGCAAGUCGAGCGAACCACUUCGGUGGUGAGCGGCGAACGGGUGAGUAACACGUAGGUGAUCUGCCCAUCAGACGGGGACAACGAUUGGAAACGAUCGCUAAUACCGGAUAGGAAGAAAGUUUAAAGGUGCUUCUGGCACCGCUGAUGGAUGAGCCUGCGGCGCAUUAGCUAGUUGGUAGGGUAAAGGCCUACCAAGGCGACGAGGCGUAGCCGACCUGAGAGGGUGAACGGCCGCACUGGGACUGAGACACGUCCCAGACUCCAACGGGAGGCAGCAGUAGGGAAGCUGCGUCAAUGGGCGAAAUCCUGACCGAGCAACGCCGCGUGAAUGAUGAAGGCCUUCGGGUUGUAAAAUUCUGUUAAAAGGUAAGAACUACUUUAGUAGGAAAUGUCUAGAGUGUGACGGUACCUUAUGAGAAAGCCACGGCUAACUACGUGCCAGCCGCCGCGGUAA
rnacentral:rRNA from 1 species